rnacentral:lncRNA from 1 species
UUUUUUUUUUUUUUUUUGGCCCAUUGGGUAAUACAAUUGAGUAACUUUUUGAAUCUCGUAUACUAUUGAGCAAGGAUCCGACCAUCAGUCUAUAAUGACAUGGAAUCACUUCUACAAUACAGAAUCAGAAGAGAAAAAUAUCUGCAAAUUGCCAAUCCUGAACCUGUAAAUCUUGACAUUACAAAAUGCAAAUUUGAGGCUGAGAUUUUAAAACUCUGGUGCUCAAUUUGUCCCACAUAUAGGUGAAAAAUGGAGUUUGACAUGGAACAUAUUGAGCCUAAAGUGUCUGCUUUAUGUUCAGUAUUAUCUUUAUUUGUUCAGAUACCAAUUAUCUGCUUAGCGUGAAACCAAUCCUAGAGCAGAAGGCUGGUGGGAGUUGGAUAGAAGGUCUUUUAACACUUCAGGGGUGCCUCCUUGCAAGUAGCUUUUUUGCUUGCAAGCAUUAGGAUUAAGACUUGUUGGGAAAAAUGGGACAAAAAAUAAAAUUACAAGAUUGAAUGAAAAGUUCUUUAAUGUUGGCAUACCAGAGAGACAGAUGAUUCAGCAGCAAGUGCCAGAAUAUCUGCACAAGAGACAAUACCAGGACAAGAAUUUUCAACAGCAGUCUUUAUCUUGUCAACAACAUCAAAACCGCGAGCAGAGUUGGUAUUGGGAGCUGCAUCUUUCUCACUUCUCAAAGUUCCGUUGUUAUCCAGUAAAAUCGAAGCAUCACAUCCCUGAUGACAACAAACAGUUCUCAGAAGAUUAAGCGAUUGAAAUGAUAAAAACCAGUUUACUGUUCUUAAUUUUUUUUAAAGAAACUUCUAUAAGAGUAAAAAAAAAAAAGGUACAUCAACAAAGCAAUCGUGGAAAUGAAGUCGAAUGAGGCUUGCACCAAUACGCGGAUCAGACUGCAAAGCCUGUUGUAUGACAUUUUGGACAAUGGCAGAUACAUUUGGACAUGUGUUUGAGUAAAAUGUUGCAUUCAACUGAGCAUUCGAUACAUGCAGCUGAAUUGCACCUAAGAAAAAGCUGGUUAGUACAAAGAGAGACGGAAAAGAAAGCGUUUUCAUUUCGUUCUUUUUAACUGGAAGCAAGCAAACAAUGUAAAUUUGCCUUGUACAAUUAGUGACUCGGGAUCUACGCAUUAUAUAGGAAAACAAGCCUGUUCUUUUUGUCCCCCGGAUAGAAAAUGACUUUGGUACAGAUAUGGCAAAAAAAAAAAAAAUUACUGUCUUUAUCUUUCUGUUAGUGUUAAGCAUCAUAGUCAACAAACGAAAUAGUAGGUCAUUUCUUGGAUGCUUCACCGCGUCCAGCCUUUGGGGAAGGAGAAUUGGUCUUGGUGCAUUUUUUUUUCUUUUUUUUGAGCAUACAAUCUUCAUUCACAAGGUACUAAUAACUAUGUACAACAUGAAUUAUUACUAUUCCGCAGCAGAAAUUUGGUCAUAAUUCGAUUUAACAACUAGGGCGAGUAGCAAAUUAAACGUACUCUUGCCCAUCUAAACUCUUUUCCUUUGUCUAGGCAUACAAUACAUGGUAAUCCAACUUCAAGGUUAACUCGGUACUGACAUUUCAGUGUCAUAUUGCCUCAAGUAUGUGAAACAACUCCACCAAUUCAAAGGAAAAAUGGACACAACACGAUUGACUAAUCAGGGUAAGGAAUGAGGAUGGUAGCUUAGCUGGGAAGAAUGAUUGAUGGCCGAUGUGGGAAUGCAAACCAUAACAACCAAGUCAAACAGGAAAUUUCCAUUCGAGUUGUUACCAGCUUUAAUCUGUGUUGGAGCUAACUUAGGGUGGGGGCUGGCGCCACUAAAAGAUCACCUCAUCAACAAAAUAAUUCCCUUGAAAUCUUUGCUAUCAAAGACAAAUACUAUUUGUCGGUCAUUCCUUUGAAUUUUAAAAGAUUCCUUGCUAAACAACGCGUACUUGUUCAUAAAACACAGAACACAUUGAUUGCUUCAUGGACUAAAAAUAGUGAAAUGCUGUCUGAGACUAAUUGCAAAUCUAACCUUAGGUACCAAGAAAUCCGAUCUUAAAACUUUUGUCAUCCCAAACGACGUUCUUUCAUGUUCUAAUCACCUCAUUUGGUGCUCGUUUUGAUAUUAAAAAACACAACACAUGAACUAACACAAGGUUAAACUCCGCUAUGUGCAAUUAUAUGGGAGGAAAGCACCAGAGUCUCAUAGUUUCCAGUCUUUCAUUUUUUAGGCAUCUAAUCAUUUGAGAUUAAACAAGUUCUGAAGGGUAUUAUAGGAGAUAGUGUAGGGCUAAUCAAUCGAGUAAUUCAUCAAACGGGACUGCAGACAAAUUAUGCACUUAAUCUUGUAACUGAUCACCGGUGAACCUCUAGUACUGUUUUUGUUCUAACUGCAACAAUUUAAUUGCACUUGUUAUUCGAAUUACGGUUGAAGUUACCAUGCUUUUAACUUGACAACAACAGCUUCUUAUCAGCAAUGUUUUCCUUUGUUGCCGUGCGGGAAUGAGGCAAGUCUACUCUGCUUUUACGUCCAAUAGCCCGGCUAGGUAAAUGGUUUCAUAGCAUAUAUUGAUAUUUUUCAGGAUUUUUGGAGUACCUAUUAGUUCUCUACUUUUGAAAUAAAGAGUAAAGUUACUACCCGAGUGCCGCAUCAAUGCAACGCUGUAAUUAGAUUUUAGAUUCAAGAAAGUGGCCUUUAUAACUGGGGAAGAUCAUAGCGAAGAAGUCGAAACCGACGCAAGGGCUGGUGAAUUAUGCUUGUUCUGGGAUUCUCAAUCUCCAGCUAUGGUCCUGUUUCAGCAGUCUGAACUAAGGCCACUCAAGUAGGGAACUAACCAUGCCAGCAGCAUGUAAGUGCUCUCAUCUUUACUCAGCUAAUUUUUGUGUGCUGAAAUCCCAGUUAAUCUUUCAAGGGUCGGGCACUUUCUCAUUCCAAUUAAGCGUGAAUUGUGAUUAUGAUUGAAAGUAGUUGGUGAGAGUUGUUGAUGGUGAUUAACUGCAAUCUUUGAAAAUAUAGUCACUGAUUGACUAAGGAUGCUAGUUGUUUAUAUGGAAUCCAUGAUCUUCGGUUAAACUGUCAACCAUUUACUGACUCUAUGGUUUAAUUAAGGAUCUUUCAAUUUUGAGUAGGCAGGUUUGGAAUUUGACAGGCCUUGAUCAAUAAUCUAUACCACUGGAUUUCAAAGUUUCAACCCUGAAAUACUUCUUUUUAGACUCUGCAGUUGGCUGUAUAAGAUACUUUAAUUUGCAGGAAAGACUUGUCAUGCAAGACUAGUCCACUUGACAUUUCAAGCCGUAUAUCUAGUGACUUGGUCUUUUGUAUACUUAUCAGUGAAAUUCUUUUUACGAGACUAGAUUAAGACAUUUGUUCCAUGUAUAUAAUAUCUCGUCAAAUGUAAGAUAUUUAUGUGACGACUAAAUCUAGAGGAAAAUCUCGCUAUUAUUAGAAGUUGGAGGGCAGAAAUUUAGGGUUUGGUAUCUUGAGAGGAUAAUUAAAAUAAUGGAUCCUGUCGUGUUUGGAUUGCCAUUUCUUUCGAUUUUCUAUAAAAAAAAUAUAUUAUGCUGAUUUGAUAUAUGUGAAAUAAAAAAUAUUUUAAAAAUAUAGUCACGAAAAAUAUAAAAGUUUUUCUGCAGUCCAAACAAGACAAUUUUUAACUGGAAAAGGAUAAAAAAAAAAAAAAAAGACGAACUCCAGUAACCUUAGGGAAGAUGGUCCAUCCGUGGUAGUAAAAGCAGAUAAAAGAGGGGGGAUUGGUUGGCUUUUGGAAGCCUUAGCGUUGCGUGUGAAAUGGAAAAGAAAAAGCUCACUACUUCCUUAGUUUCAUUUCACAAAAAGUACUAACGUAUUGAAAGCGCAAUUAGUAUUGUUUAUGAUUGUCGUUCAACUUGGAGAGAUUUAAAAUUUGUAUGUGGGGAUGCAUCUUUAGAUUGUAAUUAAUUAAUUAGUUAGCACUCGAAAUCGAAUCCCCUUUUAUUCAAUAUUUUAUUAAUUCAACCAUUACAAUUUAGUAGAAGUCUUCCUUGCAUCCAGACGGGAUCCUCUGUCCAAUUUUUUGUGUCCAAUUUUCUGUCCAACACAAGAUUACGUAGUUCCAUUUAUUCUUGUGGCUGACGUGGCACAUAAAAAUAAAUGCCUGUUUGGCUCAAGCGCCAAGCAACAGCCCUGUCAAAUUGUAACCAUUCACCGUGAGUUCCUCCAAAGCAAACCACUAGCCUAACGGAAAGACAUAGCAAAAUUUGAGACAAACAGAGAGACAAUCAAAUCCUUGGAAGUACAAAGCAAAAUUUGCAGCUGGGCCUAACGGAAAGAAUAAUCUAAAAAAUUGGUGAAGGAAAACAAAUUGUCUUUCUCGCUUUCUUUGAAGGAAAACAAAUUGUGUUUUAACAUUUUCAGAUAGAAAAAGUGUUUCUUGUACCUUUUGCAAUCUAUUUUUUAUUCUGGUAAAUUGAUUCCUCUUUUUGUUUUUUAAGUAGAAUUAUGUCUUCAUUGAUACAGUGUUCAUUUAAUUUAUAAUCCAUCUCUUGGGGAAAUAUGGUUAAAAACUGACAUAUUUCAUUGGCUUGGUUGACAAAGGUGCUAAUUGAAUGAAAAACCAUGCGAUGGAUAAAAAUUGAAAACCUUUAAACAUCAUGGAGACUUCUGCUAUUUUAAGAUGUAAUAGCUGUUUUCUUUUCUUACCCCCCCUUUUCCCAGAGAGAAAAAAACACCACCCCACCCACAUACACACAUUUUAUAAGGCAUACGGAUUGUGGUGGUAAACAAAUAUAUGUGCUGCAAUUUGGUUCACGAUGAUUGUUGUUUCAGAUGUCAAUGCCUAGAAGAUUAUAUGCUUAGCCAGUUUUUUUAUUUUUUUAUUUUUGGUUUUAUGGAAUUAUGUGUUUCCUUUUCACAUACAGUGAUUUUUGUGAUCACUGCUAAACCGGGGGAAUUGUUAUGGUAGUAAUAGGGUUUUGGGAAUUGUAAUAAAGAUAUGUAAAUAAAGGAAAUCCAAAAAAGAAGAGAGAUCCAAAAGUAUAAUGGAGCCAAAUAGGCAUUUAUUUUUAUGUGCCAUGUCAGCCACGAGAAUAAGCGGAACUACGUAGUUUUGUGUUGGACAGAAAAUUGGACAGAGGAUCCCGUCUGGCUUGCAUGCCAUCGGAAGAUUCCAGCCGCAAAAUAACUAACUUAAUAGACAUCCAUAUUUAUUGUUUCGUGCUCAAAUUAACUUGAUUUUUACUCAAUGUUAGUAAAGAUCUCUUUUAACCAGUGCGCAGCAACACUCAUUAGCAACACCGUUUUUAUUUGGAAUAGCACAAUAGGCAAGUUUAAGGUUGCGUUUGAUAAAUUCGAAAAUUGAAAAUUGAAAAUUGAAAAUUGAAACCUGAAAUCUGAAUCUAUUAAAUUAUUAAAUUGUUAAGUAGUAAAUUUGACAUAUUUGAGUAUAUAUCACAUUAAACGAUAAGUAUAUAACUUAUCACUUAUUCUUUAGAGCAAGUUUUACCAAAAAAAUUCAAUGUCAUUUAAUUGAUUCAAAUAUCAAUUUUUUACUAUUAAGAUAUAGAAUUGGAGACAUUUCAAUAUACAUAUCUAGAUGUUAUGAAUAGAAUGCCAAAUAUGCCACUCCAUUUAAUAUAAAAGUUUGCCACCAAGUACUUUCCUUGUUUCACCAAGAAUGUGUGCUCAGCAACUAGACUUGUCAACGGGUCGGAAUUGAAAAUUCCGAACCCAAAUCCUUUUUAAUGUUAGACCCGGAUCUGACCCAUGUACCCAAUGGGUCUUGUGCUGAAGAUUUCAAAACUAGAUCCGAUGGGUCUCAGGUCGGGUCCGGGUCUACUCGAAAAGAAAAAAGAUCCAACAUAUAUCAUUCAUUUUCUUUUAUUCAUGUUAGUAAAAAAGGUCAACAUGAUCCCAAGAUAUUUAACAAAAAACACUUAUAUGCAAUUUGUGAUGAAUACAUUUUGGUCAAACAAGUUUGCCUCUUCCAAAUCCUAAUUUCUUAGAUGUUUCAUUUAAGAUAUAGGUAAUUUAGUUAAUUUGGUAAAAGAAUACUUUUGUUAAUUUAGUAAAAAAAAUGUAUUUAGAAAUAUUUAUAUUUUAUAAUUAUUAAUGUAUUUUUUAAAUUCGGGUCGAAAUUCUAUGUUUCAUAUCUGACUUUUUUUUGUUAGAGUAAAUAAGUAUGAAUCUAGAUACCGGAAUUAUUUCUCAACUUGGAAAAAAUUACCGAAUCUAGGCUAGGUCCGAGUACAAACUUGACCCGUUGAUCGCCCUGUUAGCAACUAUGUUUUCUCAUAGCUUUGUCCCUUAAAAUGGGCCAAAAUUUAAACUCUUUCUCUGUUGAAGUGAAGUCUUGAUAGUGGACAGGCUUGAUGCCCAAACCGGAAGACAAACCCAUCACAAAAGAGUUGAGGCCCUUUUAAGUACGCCAUUUCCUCGCAGAAAUAUUGCCCUAAGUUGUUGACGACCUGAUUCCCGGUGGCCGGUCAAUCUCCAAAAGUCCGAAUGCAGGUGGAGUUUUCGUCAACCACGUGGAUUGCUGAAGUGCUGACCUCAACCCACGAAGAUUCAACAACAUGACCUGGUUUAGCUUCUUUCUGUUACGAUAGCCUAUCGUAGUCUCGUUUGCUUGUGCCACGGUGGAAACUAAGGCUCUGCUUGGAUUGCUUGUUUCCGUCAGAAAAUAUUGUCAUUUUUCGUGAUCAUAUUUUUCUAUCACCUUUUUCCCACACAUAUAUCAAAUCGCUACAGUAAUUUUUCCAUGAAAAAUGACGGAAAAUGCAAUCCAAACACAACUUAAAAUUAAGUACUAAAGCCAACAUCAUCGACAAAUUUAUAAAUAGUUUGGAUUUUUUCCCUCAUAUAGUUUAAGAAAAAUUAAUUAAUUUUAUUGAAAGAUUAAAUCUAAUCUAUUAUCUUUCUAAAUACUCUUAUAUUAUUAAUAUUACGAGUAUGACUAAUCAUUAUACAUUUACAUUAAUUAUAAAAAUAAUACCGACAGAAAGUUGUACCAUUCAAGGCCUGAAUCAAAACAAUUAUUGAAUAAGAUAAGUUAUAUUCAUGGAUAACAAAGUACAUUAAAUAAAUAAGGAUAUUUUGGAGAAGUUGAAAGUUAACUAACUAUAUUUUUUAAUUGAAUAGUGGAUUAUAAUUUGGAGCUAAUGAGAAAGGAAAUAAAACCAUUAAAAUGGAACAGAGGGAGCGCAAACCAACUAUACUUAAAUCCCAAUUAAUCAACAUGAAUUAUCCAGUCCCUAGGGGAACAUCUGCUAAAAUUGAGAUGAUACAGAGAACAUUUUUAAAAAUUUUUGAACACUAACUAUCCCAUCAAUUCUUAUUAGGCUUUAAACAUUAACUUUACGUCCGUUUACUUUUGUGCGCAGAACGCCAAGAGAAGAGUCAAGCAUAUUUUAUAAAGAAAACACAAAUGCUCACGGAGAAAUUUAUACUCUUUAAUAAAUUACGUGAAGUAUUUUCCAUUGGGUACGUUCUGGGCUCUGAUUUAUUUGAUUAUUACACAUUUAGGCUCAGAGAUGCAACCAUACUGCGUACCUUCCAGUUACCUAUGCAGCAGUGCACUAAAGGGGAAUAUUAUUGUCACCAUAGAGAUCAUGGUAUGUACCAACGAUUGUUUUGAUCAAGUUAUUCUUACACAGCAUACCUUUCUUGAUUCAUCUCGUUUAACUAACACUCAAAGAAUGGUCUUAUUUGUUAAUGGGAGUAGAUUUCAAUAUACUUUUCCUUCUGUUCUGCGUUCCAAAUCCUCUCGAACUCAAUCACUCACCUCCAAUUCUAUUGGUGAACGUGAACCUGCAUCAUGUCUUUUCUCUAGUAGCGUCCAAUUGAAUUUUUCUUGCUGCUAUCUAGUUGCCUUCCUCGUGGAUGUCUUGUGGACACUCAACUUCUUUUAGGCUUCUUAGCUAGGGAGCUGAGUUGGAUUUCAGCAAAUAGAUAGAUACAGCUUUCUGGAUUGAUUUUGAAGCAAACUUGAUUUGGUAUCUCUUUGUUGUAGCAUUUCUUUAAUCUAUCUAUAAACUGCCUUCGGUCAUGGCAACGAGCAAAUAUGUACAGGGGAAAAAAGACAACGGGCCGGAAUGUGUAAUCAUGGUUCCGGCAAAUGAAAAUGUUUUUAUGCAGUGUAGCUCUUGCGAUGGAAGAAAGCUAGCUUUUGGGAUAUGGUUCGUCAUGAAAUAUACAAAUGAAGACUUGAUGGAUGAUCUCAUGGGAACCAUCGGACUCGGAUCACAUAAUGGGGUGAUGCCCUGGAUCUGGUUUCAUGCUCAAGUGGAUCCGGGCCGGAUCUUUCUUAAUCAUCAGAAAUGUUCCAAUUCAGUUCGACAACUUUGCAUGCUUCUAAGUAGUUAUUUUGUUGCAAAAGGUUAUCUUAAUCGGUUCAGACAAUUUCUGAUCGUUUGUACCUUUUACGAAAAUAUAGUUUUUUGUUUUUAAUAGAUGAACAAGUUUCAAACAGACCAAUCAACUUUGAAAUUCAUCAUUCUAAGUGAGAAAAAUUAGAUUUUGCAGUCUAUUUUUUCUCCUCUUACCGUAUCUUAUGAGUAAAUUGUUACAAUUCAGAAGCAAACUAUCUUCUUGUUAUAGUAGAGGCAAUUAAAACUUUAAGAACAGUGUUGCACACAUUUCAGCAGAUCACCUUCCUUUCCCAUUUGCUCGUGUAAACUUUUGUGUUAAUAGUUUUCUGUACUUUCUUAUACCAAGUUCAUCAACAACAACGACUAAACAAAAGGAGAGCAAACUAUUGCAGACUAAUUCAAGAUUGAUGCGCGGAAAACCAAUUUUGACGAAGAGGAAGAUAAUAUAGAUCUGGGAUUGGGCUUAGGUGCAAAAUGAGAAACUGAAAAUCGGGUGGUGAAGUGUUGAAACUUGAAAGCACGACACGAUCGAAGGAUGAACAAGGUAUCGAAGCCAUUAUAGGCUCGUGAAUAACAAUAUGAGAUUGACUUGAUGUUGAGGAAUUAAUCCUCAUCGUAAUUGGUGAGGGACCAACAAAUCUUAAUCUUCAGCCAGCCAGCAUGAAAUGCCAUGAUCCUAACUAGCUAGCUAGAAGUGCUUGAUAAACAUUUAAGGCUACGAAUCUCUGCAGUGCAUGCAGACACUCGAGCGUACCAGAAUAUCAUGACCAUGCAAAGAUAAUUAUGAGGGCCUGUUUGUUCUGCAAUUGCAGAAGAAUACAGUCUAUUUCCAUCAUGGUAUACAAUGAAAACCAUCCGAAACUUUUGGUUAGCAGCAUGAUCUAUGGAUGUACAGCCUUGAUAAAUCUACUUCAUGAUGUAUGCUAGAAUCCUUGAAUGUCUGCAGAGAUGAUGAUAUAUAGCAUUUCCAUUUCGGUUGUUUUGCUAUUCAUUCGACCGGCAGUCUUUAAGAAUAAAACAAGAUAGAUGUUUGACAAAGUAUGCCUAAUAUGCUUUUUAUUUUUCCCCUCCUUCUUGACCUACCAAGUCCAGGCAUUUCAUUUGCUGGUGGCGUAAAACUUAUAUAAGUGCCAAAAAGUUGAGAUGUAUUAUAUCGUCGUUUAUGCAUACUCCAGCUUCUCUUUUCCUGCUUUUGCCAUCACCAAGCAAAAUGAUGUGCAUAAGUAAUAUAUUUGUACACCUGCAGCUCGAACCACUAUCAUUUGUCUAAUUUGAUGAUAGAUUUUUGGACGCAGAUAGAUCUCUUUACAGUACAUUCCUCCUGUCAUCAUUAGUCAGCUAGCUGUAGGGAAAGUUGGUAAAGUGGUUAAUUUUUUUUUUAUUUUUUUUGUCCCAGACCAAACUAAAUAGAACAAAGAUUUUGAUAAGAAUAAUGAGGAAAACAAAAUAUAAAAAUGGUCGUCGUCCCAACAGCUAGCAUUACAGCCAAGGUCACUUCAGGACAACCAAAUUCAAGGAGAAAAAAAUGUAAAUGGAGAAUGGAAAACUCCAAUCAGGUGUUGCUUCAAGAUGAAUAUAUAUAUAUAUAUAUGUAUACGGUGAUGCAAGAAACUGAUUAGUUUAGUCCAGAUUGUUGUCAUUGACUGGUCGGACAGGUCAUGAAUCAUGGGCCAUCAGAUCAGAGAUGUAUAGCAUAUAUAGUACUAAUAUGCUAAUUAAUGCAGUAGCAAAUUAUUCCACCCCUCUUGGAACUGAAUCUGUGAAUUUACAAACUGCUAAUGUAACAUCUUAAGAAGGUUCAUUCAAGGGAUCCAAACAAAUGGGAAGAAGCCUUCUCAGCUACUACUUGGAUGAGAGAAUUAGUGGUGAUGCGUUUAUUCGCAGUGAAAAAUCACCUUCCAUGUGAAAUUACCAUAGAUAUAUAUGAACCGAUUAACAUGCAUGUAGUGAAGACAAUGACUUUUUACCUAAAACUGAAAAAGAAAAAUACGAUAACUUUUUGGCUGGAUAGAUAGAUAGAGGUGGUAUAUCAUCACAAGUGACACCAGUCAUAUUAAAGAUUUUAUUUACAACAUUUAUACGUGUUUUCUGGUAUAUAUGGAAAUAAAUGCAUGCUUAGGAAGAUAUAUAUAUAUUGUAAUUUUCUUAAUCAUUAUAUAUGUAACCAGAUAUUAUAGUACUAAAUACAUAAUCAAUUUUGGAUUCUUUUAUUUAGUUCCAGAGGCCACACAAUAAGAAGUGAGCCCAAUGUCAUUCUUUGUGCUCUUUUUUUUUUUUUUUUAAUCAAAGAAAGUGUAUGUAAUUCAAGGACUGAGUGGUAACUCUAGAAUUUUAAUAGUGUAGUUACCCACAUUUUCUAUGUGCUUAUUUAUCUAAUGUUCUUUGGGGACUAAAUAGAAAAGAAAAACAAUAAUUUUGUAUGGGUAGGAAGACAUUUUAAUUUAUUGGAGAGACCACCUGACAACAGGUUGCUCUCCCUUUUGUUAAUAUAAUAGUACCAUUACAUAAUUUCAGGGCUUGUAGUCUUCUAAGUGAAUUUAUUUUUUUCUCUGUUGAACUUCCUUGAAUCCUUUUGGACUUUCUGGUAUUGGUACGUACGUUUAUUCCCCCUCCCUAAAUACAUUUCACUUCAGCUUUAGUUUUUUUUUUUUUUUUUGGUUUGCUACAAAUUCACCUCGUUUUUUUGUACGAACAUAACGUAUUUGAUAAAAACAAGCAUGGCAUUAGCAUUAAUAAAUCAGAGAAGAAGUGGUACACAUUAACUGAGACAACGUUUAGUAUCUUACAAACAAAUUGUGUUUCUUGCUGUAAGGAAACCCUAUUAAUUAAUCAAGUUACGGGAUUAAGGAAACCGAUCAUGAGAAUGAAAGUAUAUCAAUUUACUAGUCGCUAAACUGAUUGCAGCCAUGGACCAAAAACACUUAAAGAGGUAAUUAAAUAGUUAUUUUUUCAGACUCUACAACCAGAUGGACUUCUAAUCAUUUUUUCUUUCUGGCCGGGGAAGCCAAACAUAGGAACUUCUAUUAAAGUUCUUUACAAAGUGGACGUGUCAUAAGCAUAUAUAUAUGCAGGACAAACAGUUUGUUCAAAGUUCUUAAAUCCCAUCUAAAAUUAAGUAAUUUUUUCUGAAAGAAUAUCUUGUCAAGUUUCACUGAGAUUGUCAUUUUCCUAGAAGAAUCUUGUCCGGUUUUUUUUGGUCGGAAGAGCAGUUGUACAGCAAAGUUAUGCAGGCAGUGACAUGUGAAUUAGGGAAGUGCAGCAUGCUAUUUUAUUAGCUUGGGAACUCGCUCGCAUAGAAAAGAUUUGUAACUAGAUUACCAAAAGAAUAAGUUGACAUUGAUUUAAGAUCUUUCAUUUUCUUUUGAAGUUUAAUUAAUUAGGAUUCAUUAUCCAAGUUAAUAUUAUUAUACACUAUUAUCUACAAAUUCUGGAAUUAGUUCAGUGAUGUGUUGGAGACAUUGUAAUCUGGCAACACUAGAUUGUUCAGCUAAAUAGGCGGCCAAGAAAAAGGAACAUUUAAAUCUUAGGGAGAAAAGAAGGAAACACCAGAAAGGAAAACACUGAAAACGAAAGUAUUAACAGUUGCAUGAUCUAAUUGAUCAACAUCCGCAGCCAGCAAACAUACCUUUCGAAAAGAAAGUUUUCUCAUGAAAUAGAGCAUAUUCAUGUUCACCAUUUAUGAUUUAGUCACUAUAUAUGGUUGUUGCCAUUAGAUCCCACUACCAUAUUAGUAUCUGUCUGGCCUAAGAGGCUGCUCAUGGAUCUAGCUUUAACUGCACCGAGCUUCAUUCUCUUCUUUACCCCCACCAAUGGCUUCUUCUCAUCAUCAUCCUGUUCAUCAAAAUCAUUACUAUUAAUCUUGCUUGACAAGGAUUUCACCACUUCUUUUUCUUGCAAACGCGACAAUGGUGCAGUUAUUUCAUCCUUCUCAUUUGCACCAAUCUGAUUAGUCAUGGCACUGUUUCGAACGCUAGUCAUGCUUCUUAGCCUUCCUUUACCUAAAUGAUGCUCGCACAAGGAAUAACCUACAAGAGUCUGUUGGCAACACCUCCAUCCUCGCCCGUUAACGCGACUGCACCGCGAACCCUCCAUGAUAACGCUGCCUCUCUUGCUCUUCUUUGCACCAGCACUAGACAUCGUGUUCUUGAUCCCUUCAUGUCCAUCACCACUUUGUAGCAAACAUUUCUUGUUUGUUUUCGACUUCAUUUUCGCCUUUGUUGUUUCUUUGCUUGCAAUGUUAAUUGUCUCAAAGCUCCCUUUUCUUUUCUUCAAUGGAACAACUUUAUCCCCUUCACACCAUCUCUCAAUAACUAUAUAUGUACAUAGUGCAAGUGCAUGUGCAAACAACAACAAUAAAAAGAAACAACGAUAAGAUGAUUUGGGCUUGCGAUCAUAAUAUUCUUAUACGAUCAUGCUAACGAUAUGGUGCAUUUUUCUUGAUUUGUCAUGGCCAAAAAGGUUUACUUACCUGGUGAAGAAGAAGAUGAUGGCAGAGGAAACUGCGUAGUAGAUAAUUCUCCUUGAAUGCUAUCCUUCCUAUAUACAAGCAACAUCCCAAAAGAUCCACAACCACAGAAGAAGAAUAUGUUCAGCGCAAAAAUAACAAACAAGAAACAACGGAGCAACUCCAUAGUGUAACCAUAGAAGAAGAAUGAGUGAUAAUUGUGGCUGGGGGACCAGUAUUUUAUGCUAAUAUACAUGCACCACAUGGGGCAUUCUUUUGCCCUUUUGUUUUUCCUAUUCACAGAAAUAAGUAAAAAAAAAAAAAAGUAUAGCAGUAAAUAGAGAAUAGAGAGAUAGAUUAGAUUAGAUUAGAUGGCGAUGGGAUGGGAAGCAAUGGUGGCUAGCCAAAGCUGAUGGUCUGCAUAAAAAACACUCGUAACAGUGCUUCCACUUACAGUAGUGAGUAUAAUUUCUUUUCUUUUCUUUUCUUUUUUCUCAAGGAGGUAAGGGUUAAAUCAAGCUAUGAGUCUCUCCUCUCUCUUUUUCACCUUUUUACUACAAGAGUUCAUGAAAGAAGUGAAACAACGUUGAGUAACUUUUCUUUUUUAUUCUUACCUUGUAUCAUUACAGCUACACCUCUCAUCUUUAAUCUCCUUCCCUUCAAUUUCCUGCAGAAAAAUAAAGCAGAUUCAGCAUAUAUACCAUCCACGCAUCGUGUUUGCACCUGAAGCAACAUUUCUUGAUGCAGAUUUAUUUACCCUUGCUAAAAACCCCACUGAAAUUUCACUGCACCCUAUUCAUGAUAUUGAUCAAACUCACCUUUUGCUUCAACUUCUCUUCAUCAACACCGCUGUUGAGAAAAUCCCAUGUGGGAUUUUCAUUUGUGGUCGUGAUUGCUUGACUAUUUGGUUGCUGGAAGGGCUGAUUUUGAGGAUCGGGAUUUUUGGGAUUGUUGUGCUUUGCCUCUUCUUGCACCAUAUGAAGAUUCUGAUGGGGAUUUACUUGUAUGAGUGGUUGCACCACCGGUGACCGGUUGAGCUGGGGAUCUGACGGGGCAGCUGAAGAGAUUGAUGCUGAGGGAGGAAAACGUUUCCUGAUCCUCAUGGUUUUGUAAGCAUGAACGAUUAAAGACUCAAAAGGGGAAACGAUUUUGAUGAGAGAAAGACAAGGAGGAGGAAGACUAACUAUAACAAGAAUGGAAUUUUCAGGUACUGAUCUUUUAGGACAGGGAGCAAUAAAAGAGAACAAGAACUCUUAAAUUACUACUGAAAACAAAUUUGUUGGCUUAAUAUCAAAAUCUCACAAACAAGCUCCCUAUGUCUCUCCAACACUAAUCUCUAUUUGUUUUCUCUCUCUAACUUUUAUUUGUUGCACCACCCAACACACUACAAGACCACACACAAGGAUAGAUAUAACGUAGCAUUGCACAACAUUAUCGAAAAACGGAAAAUUGCAAUUUAGACCCACAGGUUUUCAAAUAGUUUCAAUUUAGACUCUUGUAGUAUUUUUAUAUUCAGCAUGAUCUUGUUUUUACGUGCUGUAAUGUAAUUAGAAUUUUGUAUUCGGUCCAAUAUUCUUUUUUUUUUCUAACAUGUUCUUUCUCGAUGUAGUUUAGAGUCGUCAUUCAGUUUAAAAAUUAUUUUGAAUUGAAAGUGAAUUCUGACAUACUAGUUUUCUUUUAUUCGUAUAAUAUGUGAUUUUAUUAAAUUGUUUAUCGUACUUAAGUAGGUUAAUUUUUUAUGAUGCAACAAGAACCGUUCAAAACAAGAAAAUUAAGGAAAUAUUCAGAGUGUUUGUGUUAACAUUGAAAAAUGAGAGGCAAAGCAUGAUAAGAUCACACAACAUAAAAUGGCUAAAUGUGUUGAAAGAGACAUGUGAGGGACUAAAAUGAAAAGAAAAAAAACCACACGAAGGGUCCAAAGCUUAAAGAUCAGUUUUCGGUUGUGUAUUUCUGGCGCACGUGUGAAGGCUGAGAUAGAGAAGUCAGGCACGGAGGAGCAGUGGCGAGGGAGGCAGUGACCGGCAACCGGAAUCGUGAGGAAAAGAGAACGGGUACGGAAGGUGACAGGGUGGAUGGAAAGAGAAAGAGAGUACUACAAAUUUUACAAAAUGAUGGGAAGGUUGGAGGUUGUUUUAACGUUUAUGCCUUUAAGAAAAAUUGUGGGUUCCACUGCCAACAACGACCAAGAUGCUCUGCCUCUCCUUUCAUGGUACCCUACUGCUAAUUAACGUAUUAAACCCAAAAAAUUAUCGUACCAUUGAACUUUGCAUCAGGAAAAUUUUAGUGUAUUUACAUCUAGACCCAAGGUUCAAGGUUAGAUGCGUUAGAGCCCCAUGAGAUUUGAAAGAAAGUUAUUACAACCCCAUGGUUACUGCUAAAUUAGUCCAUCAAAAAUAGGUCACGAUCAAACCCUUCACUCGAUAAAUCAACACAUUCAUUAGUAACAAUGCGAAACAGUACCAAAUCUAAGGGGAGGAUAAGAAAGAAGAGAGAAUUAUUCUCAUUAAUUUUCUCUCCAAAGAACCCGUUAUUGCCUUAAUUUCCAAAUUUAUUCCAUGAUUGGCUAUAUGAAAAGAAGGAUAUCUUAAUUCAAGAACCUUUUUUUUUUUUUUCCUCUCCUGCACUUCCACCAAUCUCUAUGCCCAAAACUUGCAAGGACCAUGUAAAUGAUUUUGUGAAUAUCAUGCACUUUUUUGGUAUUGAUGUUUCAAGAUUUUUACAAUACUCUUGUCUAAAAUAUGUAUGUGACGGUAAUUUGCAUCUUCCUGCACGAAGAAAGACACAAUGAGGGUAUGUAAGUGUUUUGCUUUGCCAUGUUCAAGCAUGCAUGUUUGUUAGUCUUGGUCAAAGUGAGAUCAAUUAUGAUAUAACAUUUAAAGGUGAAGAGGAGAGGUUAUACCUAAUACUAUAGCAGGUAUGUAAAAUAAUGGUGGCAACAUAUUUCUCUUAAAAUUUCAUAAGGUACAAAGGAAAAAUGGCAAUUGGUUGUAUCCUGUAGAUCGAUCUACUGUAUGUGCAUUGUUAGAGUAUGAUUCUAGUCGUUAUGCAAUCAAGGGAGAUGGUAGAGAAUCAAAUACUAAGUACACAUUUUUUUCUACCCCAUUUGUUCUUCUAUUUGGAAACAAGCUGAGGUAUUUUGCAGUACUAAUUUGGCUUGGUUUUAAUUUUUAUUGGGAUAAUAAGACAAUAGGAAAUUACUUUCUUUCUUUAUCUUCAAGUGAAAAGGAGUCUAACCAUCAAAUUUAAAACUAUCAGAAACUAACCAUCAGCUAACCCUUUUUUGUUUUUUCAAUAAUAAAUCACUCUUUGUAUUUACUUAAUUAUUGUCAUUUUGCAGCAUAAAAUUAUGUACGGUUCUUCACCUCAAACAUUUCAAUUAUACGUUCCUAAUGGGACUUCUUGGUUAAGUCCCUCUUUGCAAAAUGAAAUAUUCUAUUCUUGCUAACUUUGUAAAUUCAAUUGUAGUUAAAGAGGUAGCUAAGAGGUAGGUAGCUAAGACCUGCACGGAAAGAGCCAAAUCCAUCCAUUUGGAAUUGGAUUUUUCUUGUAUAAAUAGGAAAAGGAGAUAGUCAUCCGGCUAGAUUGGCAAAUAUUCUUUCGUAACUUGAAAGAACAAAUAUUUUACCAGGAAAUUACUAAAAUAAAGAAAAAAAAUUAAUGCAUAGGAUUUGACCAGUGUUAAAGCUUUUGUAAACGGCCAUGCGGACGUAUACCGUCACCGGCCAAGCGUUGACAUAUAGAACUUCUUGCCUAAAUUAUUAUAUUUGGCGAGAAACAAAUUAAAAUGUGAAAGAACUUUCUAUUUGAGUAAAAAUAUCAUGCCACCUUUCCGUGCUCGAAGAUUUCUAACCCUAUUAUUGCUUUUCACCAAUAUAGCUUGGAAUAACUGUUCAUAGGCUCGGUCGCAAAGCUACCAUCACAACCAAAAACCCGACUCAUCGAGCUCACUGCAGGAUUAACUAGUUUACGAAAUGAACAGGGAAUGAGGUUGAACUAACAAAAAAAGCUAGAAAAUGAUGAAUGAACAUGAAGACGAUUUGAUUGGUGGAGGGAUGAAUUUUUCGGGCAAUAAAGAAAGUCAAAACUCAAAAGGGCUGCUUUGAUGCGAUUCAUAAAUUAACAAAAAGAACUCUCAACCUAGAACUUUAGUUAGGGCUAGAAGAUAAACUAAACUGUUCAAUACUCAAAUCAAAUUUGAUUUCGAUUUGAUAAGAGUUUGUUUGAAUCUGGUUUGCCAGCUAAACAAACUAAAUUUGAAUAAGAUUUUGUAUUCGUUAAACUUCCAAAUUUGGCUUGAAUUUAGACUUAAAAUUUUUGUGUAAAUAAUUCAAACUACUCUAAUUCGAUUCAAGUUUGACUUGAUAAAAAUUUGCUAGAGUUCGGCUCAAUAAACUAACUAACUAAAUUUAUUUGAAUACAAUUUUAAAGCCAUUAAAAUAAUCAAACAAAUUUGAACACAGAGAUAUUUCAAUUGAUUAGACUUGUUUAUACUCCUAAAUCUAAUAGCAAGUAGUCCAAUCAGACAAAAUAUUUUCUUUUUGGAUCUCUAUAUAUAUGUAUUAAAACUCAAUUAUCAUGCAAAAAUCCUCUUGGUAGACAACCAAAUUUUUGAUCUCCACUCCUUUGAGGUUCUUGUCUUUAGAAUUUUAGUAUAGAUUGUUUAAAAAGCGCAUUGCUAAAUAUUUGAGAUUGGUUGAUUGUGGUUAUUAUGGGGUUUAUAAAAGAUCAAUUUAAUUUGUUCACAAUCUUACAAUGUUUGUGGAGAAUAAGGGAAGCUUUUUUUUUUUUUUUUUUUGAUAAAACAUCAUAAUGUCACUAAAAUUCAUAAUAAUGGUAGAAGUUACAUCAUCAAUGAUACAUAGAUAUCAAAGUACAAAUAUGAGAAGAAUAGAUACUACUGAUCUGAAAAACAAAUAAAAAUUAAGAUUAAAUAAUUGUAACACCAAGAACAUCCAUGCAUAUUUCCAAGCAGUAGAUCUAUGGUGAGAUCUACCAAAUAAAUUCAAGAAUUUCUAGAUUUGAUAAACAAAAUUUGAAAAAAAAAAUCCAGAUUUAAUUUAAUAUUAGGGAAAAAAUGACAAAAAUACCUAAAUUAAAACUCUCACUAGGAAUCCUGGGAGAGAAGAAAGUUCUUACCUGAAAAAAUCUAGGAGCGGAGAAAAUUCUUAUCAGACAAUUUUAGGAGAAAAGAAACUCUUAAUAGACAACUUUAGAAAAGACUUUAUUCACACAAACUAAAUGAAACUAGAGAGAGGUCCCUUUCAUGGGCAAAGAUUAGAAAAAUGUAUCUAUUUAUUUGGGAGCGUUGAAGGACAUUUUGACCUGAGAGUUUUAUAAAAGAGAAGAAAGAGAGUUUUAUUAGAGAAAAUGAAGUGUUCGCUUAAUUUAGGAACUUUGACGUGAAAUACCAGAAACUACUAGUGGAGUGCCAAAAUUAUCGCUCGCACGUAUUAAAUUCUUUUUCCUUUUAAAGUGCCAUGUGGUUGGAUUACAAGACACACCCGGAUGAAGUUAGUAGUUGAGAAUAGUUGAUGAUUGAAAAUACUUUAAAUUUCAGACUAAAGCAAGAAUUUAAAUAUUAUUUGAAUUUAUGUCUCAUAUUAAUUAUAUGUAUUAAUCCAUGGUUAGGGGGAACUAAAAUAUGUAUUAAAAAAGGAAAAAAAAAAAAAAAGCGGUUCUUGGGAUUAGAUAUCAUUCAACUGCAUGCAUGUCUGAUUUAUUCUGUGACUAUUCUGGUAAAAUAACAGGAUGAGAUCAAAUCAAUAAGAUCCUUAAGCUACCAUUCGCAUCAAGAUCAAUCAGAGAAUAUGAUCUUCUUGGUAGUAAAGGUCAUGCAUCGAUCCAUUAGCUUUAUGUCUUGUUAGUCCAACUUCAUCUUGCUCCACUAACCGCUGUUUUCAAGCCUAAUUUCACUCUGCACCCCCUAAACUAUUAUUCUUUCCACUGUGCUACCUAGAGUCUAGACUAAUUUUGGACACAACCUAAGCUUUUAUUUUGAGUAAUUUGGCCUAUUUAAUGACCACGUUUAGAAAAAACGGUGUUGAUUUUUUUUUAGUAAUAUAAUAGUUUGUAUUUCCAUAAUUGCAAGGUACUAUUAUUUAAACCACGAAAUGCCAUAAAUUUGUGAAAACAUAUUAAGACAAAAUUAAGGUGUGCACUUAAAGCGUCCACAUAUCAAGUUUGAGGGUGCAAAGUAGAAAUGGAUAAUAAUUUAGGUCGACACAAAGUUGAAUAGUAAUUGCCUUGGCAUGCACUUGAGAGAAUUUUGUUAAUUUACUUUAACACCAUUAACCAUUUUGAUAAUUGAAGGGGUGCAAAAUGGGAACAUUUCAUAAUUGAAAGGGGUGCAAAUUCAAAAGAACCAUGAUACGUUAACGUGUCUGUGCAUGUCCUGGAAAAGCUCUACUACUCAAGCAUUGCUCUAAUUUCCACCGAAAUGCUCCUUCUAAUUAGUGAGGGAACUAUGUACAAUUUUUUUUUCAAUGAAAAGGAGGAAAAGAAUGAAGAAUGAAAGGCAAAAUUAAAGGAAUUAGAUGGAGAGAAUUAAUGAGCCUGACUCAUCAAUUACAAAAGGAUUAAGGGGUUUUAAUGCUGAACUACAUCCUUUUUUUUUUCCCCUUGUUGGAUUAAAGGUAGAGGGUAUAAUCAAAUUUCUUUUUUUUUUUCUUUGUGAUUCCAUAGAAUUUAUAUUCCUUGUACAAGUAUUCUCUUUAUUGCACCUAAAAGAGGAAAGAAAAGGACAGUGCGAUAACCUUUGCUUGAAGGAAUUUCUAUUUGGCAGUGGCACCACAUUGCAUGUUGUGGAGGGAGGCUAGCAACAUCCUAGAUGUGUAUUACUCGAUCAAUAUGGAUAAAUGAUGUUGAAGCUCACUUGGGAUCUUGCUUUCUUGUGGAUAUAUGUCCACUUCAGGACUUCAACGUGGUGGACCUUGAUUUUUCACCCCAAAAAAAAAAUAAUGAUAAUUCAAUUCUUGGUGGACCUUGUGGAAUUGAUAAUUCUCUUACAUACUAAGGAAGCAUCUUAAUCUUGAUACUACUAUUUGGAGGAGUGAAGCUGCUGGCCUUUUUAACUGCUCACAAUGGAGAAUCAAAUGGUUUUCAAGUAUUUCUUGGAGCUCGUUUGAAUUGCUAUUAUUUUCUGAAGUUUUUAUAAAAAUAAAAAAUGUAAUGAUUUGAUGUACAUGCGGUAAAAAGAUGAAUGUAAAAUAUGUUUGGUGAAAUCGUAAGUAUUUGUUGAAGAAACAUUAUGGUAAUUCAAACAAAUUUUUAAAGCAAUUGAAGCUUGAAUAUUGGAAGUUUUCAUUUCUACUUUAUUUAUAAACCCUUUUCACUUUAAACGACAUGACAUUUUCUUUUUCUCGACUUUUAGGCUUAGAAAACAUGCAAGACACCUCAAGAUGAAGCAACUUGUUCUAGUAAAAAUGUCAAAUCCAUUGACCAAAAUAUGGACUAAUAAUAGAUUAGAUUUACUUUUGAUUAGCUUGAUCAAAGCAACUAAUUAAGGUUCUCUUGACAAAGUGGGAAAACCGUUUAACAUAUACACGAAAUCUGUCAUUCUUUUGCAAUUAAUUAUCCUUUCCUAGGAGAUAUAUGGCCAAAGCAUGAUCAAAGACUUCAGACAAAUGGAGCCGCCCGGUAAGCAUGACUGGUCCAAUUAAGCACUAUUUUGAGAAAAAGAAACGUUAAUUAAUCUUGUCCAAACUACAAAGUUUAGCCGACUGGAUGAUUUUUUACUUGCAGGAUGACCUCUACAUCUUUUUAGGAGUACAAAAACAGUGAAUUAAAGUAAAGGAAAGGUCAAACCACUCAAACCCCCCCCCCCUCCCCACCACACACACACACACACACACACACACACAUAUAUAUAUAUAUAUAUGUUGUUAACUUAUUUUGUUUAUAAACAAUCAAUUCAAUGAAGAGUCAAGAUUUUGAGUCAGAUUAGAAGUUUUCUUUGGCAAUUGGCAUUUAUGAGCAGCAGAAUUAGAGCUGGAACUAUAAGUAGCCGUCCGCUUCCUCCUUGUAUAUUUAUUGCAAUACUUAUGGAAAGAGGCAAUAAAAACCAUAUCAACAAGAACCAUUCCUAUCUCUUAUCGUUUGAAAAAAAAAAAAAAAAAAAACAAGAACCAUUCCUAAGCUUUUGGGCUAUAUUUGUCUACGGUAGCACUUGGUAAGUGGGUUUUAGACUAAAGGAUGAGAUUUAAAGUAAAUCAUAGUAAUACUUAUCAUUUAGUUAAUAUUAAUCGGAAUGAGUUAAUGGGUAUGAUAGGCUAAUUUGAUGAUUUUUUGAUUAACUGUUUUUUAGUAGGGAAUCAUUAUUAAUUACUUGCCCAUGUAACUCGGAUUUUUAAUUAAAAAUAAAUAGUUACAGAAUACUAGAAGAAAUUGAGAGAGAGAAAAAAAUUUAGAAGAAAGAGAAAAAGAAAAAGUAAAGCAUACAUCUAAAUUUUAGUUAUCAAAGACUUCAUGGGUUUCUACGAAAUUCAUUACCAUUAAAUAGUUAAUGAUAGUAAUAGUGAUAGUGAUUGAUAAACUUUUACCAAACGGUUGCUUAGUUUUUUCUAAAGAAUAAAAUCCAUUUUGCUUUUGCAACAUCAAUGAAGCUUUAAAAAUCAAACAGAAAAAACUAAAAGUUAAUAAAUUACAACCUUUUUUGGUCCCUCAACACAUGGAGGAGACAUUGAUCUGUCAACUUUAUGCUUCAAACAUGGUCUUCUUGGUUAAUUUUGUUAUGCUUCGAACAUGGUCUCCUUGGUUAAUUUUGCCCAUUCCCAUCACAAACUACUGAAAUAUGAGGAGCUUUUACCAGCAUGAGCACCAACGACCCUGCGGACAUGGAUAAAAAAAAUCUCAGAAACUUGUCUUGCCAUACAUGUAUCAGGUAGAUCUGGAUGAUCAAAACCUCUCCAAAGCUGCAUACUUCAAAUCUUAUUUUGCAUUCCGUUGAUUUCUGUAAUAUUAAUUGACAAUAUGAUACUUACUUGUUCUUGGGUCUGAUGUACAAGGCCUGCGUUGUCAUUUGAUGCAUUUGCUUUAGCAUUUUCUUGGCCUAAUUCCACCCAAACAUGAGAACGAAUUGCUGGCUUUUGACCUUUCUGUGGAGUUCCAAUACGAGAACCAUCUGAUGGAUUUUUAGCCGGAGUAACCACUGGAUUAGGCUGCUUUGGAUCGUGGACAUCUCCUUUGGUUAAAACAACAUAGGCAAUAUUCUUUGUUUCUUUAGAUUCCUGAAGCUGCACCUGAUGGAAAUCUGCUUCUUUGCUUUCCAGACCAUCAUGUAUAAAUGAUCUUUCAAUAUCUAUUGAGAAACAUGCUUCGCUGAGUUGAAAACUUGGAGUUG